GAGUUUGAUCGUGGCUCAGGAUGAACGCUGGCGGCGUGCCUAAUACAUGCAAGUCGAACGCUUCACUUCGGUGAAGAGUGGCGAACGGGUGAGUAAUACAUAAGUAACCUGGCAUCUACAGGGGGAUAACUGAUGGAAACGUCAGCUAAGACCGCAUAGGUGUAGAGAUCGCAUGAACUCUAUAUGAAAAGUGCUACGGGACUGGUAGAUGAUGGACUUAUGGCGCAUUAGCUGGUUGGUAGGGUAACGGCCUACCAAGGCGACGAUGCGUAGCCGACCUGAGAGGGUGACCGGCCACACUGGGACUGAGACACGGCCCAGACUCCUACGGGAGGCAGCAGUAGGGAAUUUUCGGCAAUGGGGGAAACCCUGACCGAGCAACGCCGCGUGAAGGAAGAAGUAAUUCGUUAUGUAAAGCUCUAUCAGCAGGGAAGAAAAUGACGGUACCUGACUAAGAAGCCCC
rnacentral:rRNA from 1 species